rnacentral:lncRNA from 1 species
CCUGGGUCUGCCUUUCCCAUUGCCAAGAUGCCUUCUGCUGGCAACUUCACCCAUUAUGACUGAUCAUGGCAAAUGCCGGUCAGCUGGCCUCACAGCAGGUGUUAGGAAAAUAGUCUUUGGCUUGAUUAUGUUAUCUGGCUUUCCCCAAGGAGGAAAAGACUCAGAAUGGAUGGAAGUUGUUUAUAAAUUCUCCUCUGCUGCAUACUGUUAAGAAGGGGAAAGAGGAGUGCUGGACUCACCCUGAAUUCUUAUCUUGCGCGAGAUCCAAGAACUGUCUCUUGGGGUCUGUGCUGGGACUGCUUUCCUGUAACAUAUUUCUGGCGUCCACAGAAGGGACUAUAGUGAGGAAACCACUGACUUUGGGUAAGUGGUGGGGUCUUGUAA